UCUACUUUCCUCCAUUGUUAGCCAUUGAUGAAACCUUCGAAGCUUCACCCAAGUAUGCCAAACACAUAAAUCACUACUUAAAUCCUCCAUAAACACCUCUUAUCAACUUAAAUCCAAGAGAAUCCUUGAAGAUUGGUUUCAAGAAUAGUGAGAGAAAAUUUGGAUAAUUGGUGAAAACUUGGACACGAGCAGAGCAGGGAAGUAAGUAACUCCGCUUUGACGGGAGUUUUUGAGUAAGGUCUUCAGGCUAAGCGAGGAGUGAGAUUGGUCUGGUGCUGGUGGGGGAUCGUUGGAUGACGUAUUUACUUUAUCGUAUUUUCCUUUUUUAUCGAUAAAGUCUUGAUGUGAAGUUACCUUAAAUAUGAAUCAAGUAAUAUACUCACGGUUAUGUGUCUCCAUACAUGUAAUCGGUUCGCCUUUUGCUGCGAUACUCUGCAUAUUAUUUUUCCUUACGAAAAAUAAGCUAUACCUGUUUUGUUUUUGUUCGUGAAAUUCCUGAUAAUUAAAAAGU